rnacentral:rRNA from 1 species
CAGUCGCCGCGGGAAUACAGAGGGUGCGAGCGUUAAUCGGAUUUACUGGGCGUAAAGCGUGCGUAGGAGGCUUCUUAAGUCGGAUGUGAAAUCCCUGAGCUUAACUUAGGAAUUGCAUUCGAUACUGGGAAGCUAGAGUAUGGGAGAGGAUGGUAGAAUUCCAGGUGUAGCGGUGAAAUGCGUAGAGAUCUGGAGGAAUACCGAUGGCGAAGGCAGCCAUCUGGCCUAAUACUGACGCUGAGGUACGAAAGCAUGGGGAGCAAACAGGAUUAGAUACCCCUGUAGUCCCUGUCUCUUAUAC